GUCUUAACCGGGCGUUAAGUUGCAGGGUAUAGACCCGAAACCCGGUGAUCUAGCCAUGGGCAGGUUGAAGGUUGGGUAACACUAACUGGAGGACCGAACCGACUAAUGUUGAAAAAUUAGCGGAUGACCUGUGGCUGGGGGUGAAAGGCCAAUCAAACCGGGAGAUAGCUGGUUCUCCCCGAAAGCUAUUUAGGUAGCGCCUCGUGAAUUCAUCUCCGGGGGUAGAGCACUGUUUCGGCUAGGGGGCCAUCCCGGCUUACCAACCCGAUGCAAACUGCGAAUACCGGAGAAUGUUAUCACGGGAGACACACGGCGGGUGCUAACGUCCGUCGUGAAGAGGGAAACAACCCAGACCGCCAGCUAAGGUCCCAAAGUCAUGGUUAAGUGGGAAACGAUGUGGGAAGGCCCAGACAGCCAGGAUGUUGGCUUAGAAGCAGCCAUCAUUUAAAGAAAGCGUAAUAGCUCACUGGUCGAGUCGGCCUGCGCGGAAGAUGUAACGGGGCUAAACCAUGCACCGAAGCUGCGGCAGCGACGCUUAUGCGUUGUUGGGUAGGGGAGCGUUCU
rnacentral:rRNA from 1 species